rnacentral:rRNA from 1 species
GACGACGCUGGCGGCGUGGAUUAGGCAUGCAAGUCGAACGGUAGGAUACCUUCGGGUAUCUGAGAGUGGCGAACGGGUGAGUAACACGUAGGUGAUCUACCCUCAAGAUUGGGACAACCCAGGGAAACUUGGGCUAAUACCGGAUGAAAGCAGCAGUGAUGUUGUUUGAAAGGUGGCGUAAGCUGCCGUUUGGGGGAUGAGCCUGCGCUCUAUUAGUUAGUUGGCGGGGUAAAGCCCACCAAGGCGAUGAUAGAUAGGCGGCCUUAACGGGUGGUCGCCCACACUGGGAUUGAGAUACGGCCCAGACUCCUACGGGAGGCAGCAGUCGAGAAUAGUCUACAAUGGCCGAAAGGCUGAUAGUGCGACGCCGCGUGAACGAAGAAGCCCUUCGGGGUGUAAAGUUCUUUUAUAUGUGAGCAGUGCUUUCUAUGUGAACAGCAUGGGGAGAGAGAUAUUAGCAUAUGAAUAAGCAACGGCUAACUCCGUG